rnacentral:lncRNA from 1 species
CACCCUUUGAAGAAAUGUGCUGUGGAAGCAUUCAGUACCUCAUUCUGCGGGCGGAUGUUGUGUGGGAGCCUGACUCUAACAGCCUGUUCUGCCUGAAUUCUGCAUUAAGAUCAUCCUCUAAUGUGCAUCAUAAUGUUGCCAAGAUCAAGUUCAUGAGUACAGCAUGAGAUAAGUAUACAAUAUGUGACAUGUUACCUGGUCUCGGUCUUACUAGAAAUUCCAGAACCCACACUGUCAGUCUAAAACUUUGUCCUCUCACUUAAAUAUUCAAAAGCAUAGGCACAAUUCACUCACUACUUUUUUAGUGGUAGUGAUGGGGACUUUGGAGAAAAAUUCCCCUUAUAAUUCCUGACUUUUUAAAAAUCCCUUUUUUUAUUUAACAAUC